CCUACGGGAGGCAGCAGUGGGGAAUAUUGCGCAAUGGGCGAAAGCCUGACGCAGCGACGCCGCGUGAGGGAUGAAGGUCUUCGGAUCGUAAACCUCUGUCAGCAGGGAAGAAAGGGCACAGGGCUAAUCAGCAGGGAAUUGACGGUACCUGCAAAGCAAGCACCGGCGAACUCCGUGCCAGCAGCCGAGGUAAUACGGAGGGUGCGAGCGUUAAUCGGAAUUACUGGGCGGAAAGCGCGCGGAGGCGGUAUGUCAAGUCAAGGGUGAAAUCCCCGCGCCCAACGUGGGAACUGCCUUUGAAACUGGCAAACUGGAGUGUGUGAGAGGAAAGUGGAAUUCCAGGUGUAGGGGUGAAAUCCGUAGAUAUCUGGAGGAACAUCAGUGGCGAAGGCGGGUUCCUGGACAUUAACUGACGCUGAGGCACGAAGGCCAGGGGAGCGAACGGGAUUAGAUACCCCUGUAGUC
rnacentral:rRNA from 1 species